CGGACGGGUGAGUAAUGUCUGGGAAACUGCCUGAUGGAGGGGGAUAACUACUGGAAACGGUAGCUAAUACCGCAUAACGUCGCAAGACCAAAGAGGGGGACCUUCGGGCCUCUUGCCAUCGGAUGUGCCCAGAUGGGAUUAGCUAGUAGGUGGGGUAACGGCUCACCUAGGCGACGAUCCCUAGCUGGUCUGAGAGGAUGACCAGCCACACUGGAACUGAGACACGGUCCAG
rnacentral:rRNA from 2 species